AAUAAGCGGAGGAAAAGAAACCAACAGGGAUUGCCUUAGUAACGGCGAGUGAAGCGGCAAAAGCUCAAAUUUGAAAUCUGGCACCUUCGGUGUCCGAGUUGUAAUUUGAAGAAGGUAACUUUGGAGUUGGCUCUUGUCUAUGUUCCUUGGAACAGGACGUCACAGAGGGUGAGAAUCCCGUGCGAUGAGAUGCCCAAUUCUAUGUAAAGUGCUUUCGAAGAGUCGAGUUGUUUGGGAAUGCAGCUCUAAGUGGGUGGUAAAUUCCAUCUAAAGCUAAAUAUUGGCGAGAGACCGAUAGCGAACAAGUACAGUGAUGGAAAGAUGAAAAGAACUUUGAAAAGAGAGUGAAAAAGUACGUGAAAUUGUUGAAAGGGAAGGGCUUGAGAUCAGACUUGGUAUUUUGCGAUCCUUUCCUUCUUGGUUGGGUUCCUCGCAGCUUACUGGGCCAGCAUCGGUUUGGAUGGUAGGAUAAUGACUAAGGAAUGUGGCUCUACUUCGGUGGAGUGUUAUAGCCUUGGUUGAUACUGCCUGUCUAGACCGAGGACUGCGUCUUUGACUAGGAUGCUGGCAUAAUGAUCUUAAGCCACCCGUCUUGAAACA
rnacentral:rRNA from 1 species